rnacentral:rRNA from 1 species
AUCGCCUGUUUAUCAAAAACAUUUCUUUUAGAUAGGAUUAAAAGUAGGACCUGCCCCCUGCGAAGUAAAGGGCCGCAGUAUCCUAACUGUGCAAAGGUAGCAUAAUCAUUUGUUUCUUAAUUAGGAACUGGAAUGAAGGGUUUAAUAAAGAGUAAUUUUAUUAAGAAAGAAAAUUGAAAUUAAUUUUAGAAUAAAAAAGUUCUAAUGCCCCUGUAGGACGAUAAGACCCUAUUAAACUUUAUAUUAACUUAGGUACUUUUAACAAAAGUUCUAGAAGAAAAUAUUUUACUGGGGUGGUAAAUGAAACUAAAGGAGGAGAAGAAAAUUAAGAUCCAUUAUUAAUGAUAAACAGAAAAAGUUACUAUAGGGAUAACAGCAUAAUUUUUUUUAAGAGUUCUUAUCAAUGAAGAAGAUUAUGACCUCGAUGUUGAAUUAAUUUAACCUUUGGGUGAAGAAGCUUAAAAGGCUAGUCUGUUCGACUAAUAAAAAGUUACAUGAUCUGAGUUCAAACCGGAGAUU